rnacentral:lncRNA from 1 species
CCCCAGGCUGGGCCCCGAGCGGCAAGGUCCUCCAAGCCUGCUUUCAUACCAUUAGUACAAAUUCCUCUUGGACUGGAAUCUGAGCCAGAAGGAUAAGACAAACCUCUUGAGAGAAGUUUAAGGACUUCAGGCCAAAGUGGCAUGGUGGUGACAAGCGCAGAGUGGUUUGACAAGCUGGGGGCUCAGCCACGGAAAUGCAGGGCAGGACAGAAAGGAGGAGGAUGAAGAGGAGAAGAGAACGGUGAAGAAACCACGGUGCAGGGGGCUCUGCCCCACCCAAGGUCAAGGUCAAGGUCGGCCCGGCCUCUCUGCAUGCUCACACUUGGAGGGCCAGCGCCUCUGUGAGGAGAGCAGCGGGCAGGAAGAGGGCGUCCCCUCCGACCCGCUCCCACACCCAGGUGCAGGAGGGGGCGACGGCCUGCCCGCAGGGCUCACGUUCCCGGGCCCCCAGAUCUCGCCCCUGGCGUGCAGGGGGGUCCGUGGAGUGGUACUGGUCUGUCUUGGGUGUCCCAAACUCCUGCCCUCACCAUCCCCUCCUGUAUGCAGAUCGUGGCAUUCAUGGACUCCUUCUCCGUGCCACGUGCCACGUGCAUUCUGAGAUGCUCUGAAACGGGGAGGGGGCCCCAGCGGUGCGCCCUGCCCAGCUGUUCUCGCCCGUCCCCUCGGCUGCUCUGCCUGCCUGGCCUCUUUGCCAACUGGCCUCCAACCUCGUGCUCACGCUCUCUUCCUGGCAUCCCCCUCCUUUCCCGGUGCUCUGGGGGAGCCUGGAUUCGAGGGCUGAGGGUCAGGGCUUCGCAGCUGCGUCUUGAGCUACAGCAAGUGUACUGGUUUCCUACGGCUGCGUAACAAGCCCCCCAAGCUCUGAAGCAGAAAACAGCAUGCGUUUAUCGGCUCCUGGUUCUAUAGGCCUGAAGUCCAGGCCCGGCGGGGCUGGAUUCUCCACACUGGGGCUCAUGAGGCUGGAAUCGGGGUGUCAGCUUUUAUCUGGAAGUUCUGGAGGAGAAUCUGUUUCCAGCCUCACAAAGAACUCGGUUCCUUGUGGUUGUGGUCCAAGGUCCCCAUGCCCUUGUGGCUGUCAGUGGGGCCACCCUCUGUUCCUAGCGACCACAACAUUCCUUCUCACAGGCCCCAUUUUCAAAGCUCGCAACCACACAGUGAGUCCUUCUCAGUGCUCACUCGUGUCUCUGAUUUGUUCUUCUGCCACCAGCCAGAGAGAACUCUGCUUUUUUUUUUUCUUUUUUGGUGAGGAAGAUUGGCCCUGAGCUAACAUCUGCACCAAUCUUCCUCAAUUUUGUAUGUGGGAUGUUGCCACAG